GUGGCAGUAGCUCAGUUGGAUAGAGCAACGGCCUUCUAAGCCGUAGGUCGUGGGUUCAAUUCCCUCCUGCCACACCA
rnacentral:tRNA from 1 species